rnacentral:rRNA from 1 species
AGAGUUUGAUCCUGGCUCAGGACGAACGCUGGCGGCGUGCCUAACACAUGCAAGUCAAGGGGCUUUUGUAGCAAUACUGAUAGUCACUGGCGUACGGGUGAGUAACGCGUAGACAACCUGCCCAUAACUCAGGCAUAACAAUUCUAACGAAUUGCUAACACCUGAUGAGGAGGAAGCUCCAAACUUAGGUUAUGGAUGGGUCUGCGUCUGAUUAGCUAGUUGGUGAGGUAACGGCUCACCAAGGCGACGAUCAGUAGCUGGUCUGAGAGGACGAACAGCCACACUGGAACUGAGACACGGUCCAGACUCCUACGGGAGGCAGCAGUGAGGAAUAUUGGUCAAUGGUUUAACAACUGAACCAGCGACGCCGCGUGUGGGAUGAAGGGGCUCUGCCUCGUAAACCACUGUCGGAUGGGACGAAAAGCGAGCUCCGCUCGCCCGGACGGUACCAUCAAAGGAAGGGUCGGCUAACUACGUGCCAGCAGCCGCGGUAAUACGUAGGACCCGAGCGUUAUCCGGAUUUACUGGGUGUAAAGGGUGCGUAGGCGGAUAGGUGCGUCAGAGGUGAAAUUUCCCGGCUUAACUGGGAAGGUGCCUUUGAUACGGCUUGUCUUGAGUGCGAAAGAGGAUGAUGGAAUUCCUGGUGUAGCGGUGAAAUGCUUAGAUAUCAGGAGGAACACCAGUGGCGAAGGCGGUCAUCUGGUUCGCAACUGACGCUGAGGCACGAAAGCGUGGGGAUCAAACAGGAUUAGAUACCCUGGUAGUCCACGCCUUAAACGAUGUAUGCUUGAUAUCGGAGAAAUUCGGUGUCGUAGGUAACCUGGUAAGCAUACCACCUGGGAAGUAGAUCGCAAGGUUGAAACUCAAAGGAAUUGACGG